UGCGGAUUCGGGCCGGGCAGCCGCCAUUCGCGCCAUUGAUGCGUUGCCGGGUCGAACAUGCCGACCUGGCCGGCGUUCCACUCGCUGAUCCACAC
rnacentral:tRNA from 1 species